UGGAGCUAAAGCAGCUCUUCAGAAAGACAAUGGAUUUUCUCAGGCAGGCGGAUGGAGGUGCAGGAGGGUUGCUAAGCAAAGUGCAAAUCAAAACAUCAGUCUGUACUGGAAGCUUGAGAGCCAAGAUGAAAGCCAACCCGGGAGACACACGUCAGCCCCAAUAAGAAACUUUCCUGUACUGGCCACUGCUUCUCUUUCUCACCAAAAAAGUCCAGGCCACACAAAAGAGCCAGGGGGAGGGGGGAGGGCACUGAAAAACACAUGAGCAAAUGCACUGCCUCCCAUCGUGGCUGUGUUCGCCUGUAUAAACCAACCAGAGAAAAUAAAAGGGAAAUUUAUCAUCGCCUGCAGCCACAGCUGGGAAAACAUCUGUGGGACAGGGGUGGGCCCCUCCACACUCCCCUCCCUGCACUGAGGUCAGCUGUGGCUGUGACCAGGCCAGAGGAGGAGGCCAGCAUAACAAUACCUGUUUCUCUAGAAACAUGUGCGUGUUUGCUGGGUACAUAGGGGCUGAUCCCGUAGCCCAGAUCCUUGGGGGCAGUGUUCACCGCCUGACCACAGAUCUCAUUCCUGGGCCUUCAUUCCCCACCCACGCCCCGCCGCCCCCGGCUCUCCUCCUGGAGCAAGUCCUCAUGUGUCACCACUCCCUCAUGUAACAAGCCCUUCACUUUGCUUCCUAUGACUAACAAAUUAGGUCCACCGGCCGCCUGGCACUGGAGGUUCUAUUUACAGCUAUCUUUUCAGUUUCCUCUCUGACUAGCCAAACCAGUUCCUCGGGACAUCUCUCUCUCUUCUUCCUUCCCCAGUUAUCCCUUCAUCUGAAAGGCCCUCCCAGCCCUGCUAAGACCCCACCUCAGAGCCUCCUCCCUUGCAGAGAAGCGCUAUUUCCAUGCAUGCCCCUUCUUAUGCUGUAGGACAUUCUGGGACGAAGUUGUGACUUUCCCCUUCCUUCCGUCACUCAGCAAGGACUCCAGAUGCCCACUCUGUGCCAGAUGUUGCUCUGAGCACCGAGGAGAAUGGCAGCAGCAGCCAGGCAGGAACUCGAAGGAGCACUGCUUCACAAAAGGGACGUGAUCACCUGGGUGGUGCUGCUGGUUGGAGGGCAGACCCAUAAGGUGGAAGUCAUGGGGAUCUUAAGGAAGAGCUUCAGAGGCGUGGCAGUGAUACAGGAAGCAAAACACUAGCUGAGAGGGCCAAGGUGUCGAAGGCUCGAGAAGAUGUGAAAUAGCCAUCGUGCGGCGCGGAAGAGCAACCUGGGUAGGAAAAUCCGGAGAAAACUAGCAUUAGAGACGUGACUGGAACACCAGUCGCUUACCUGGAUUAGAUGCGCUGCAAAGACACAGAGCUGCAGCCUCGCGGGGGGCAAACACUGUGCACAGAGACCCAGGAAACAUGAAGCAAGUUCAACUCUGAGCAGACGCAUUAACUGUGCUGUGUUAUCCGCAUCCCCACACACAGUAUUUGGGGUCAUCUACUGCGACUACUUUGGCCUCUCCUUCCAUACGUGUCUGUUAAUUAACCAUGCCUGCUCCUUCACAGAGGCCCCUCACAACAUUGGGGGAAGACAGUCACGCUAUUUUUACAAAAAGGCAGAAGACACCUUCUCAAAUGACCCUCUUAACCACAUUUCAUUGAUUUGGGAACCGCCUCCUCUAAUUUACCAACCGGCCAAAGGCUUUCUAUACCUGGAAUUCGCUCCGCCCAGCCUUGGUAACAGAAAAGUCUGUGGCUGGGUCAGAACCCGACCUUUCAAUCUCAACCACUUCACAGCACAGCAUUCCCCAACGGCACUCCAGGAGACCCUGGUGUGCCCUGACAUGUUAUGUGUGCUCUGUGAACAGAAGGUUGCACGUGCUUGGGAAUCCCUGGGCUAGCUGAGCAGCUGGAUUUACCACCCGGCCUGGCAAUCUUUUCCAUGCUAACCUGAGUGCACAUCUCCAGGGGGUGGGAGCCAUGUCUGGACCCCCCUGUCAUUUACCUGUGAAAUCCUUCUGUUCAGCAGCCUCUCUCUGGGGAAGUUCGCCUUUACAGAAUGAACGCUUUGCCUGUCCCACACUCCUUUCUGGGGGCCUACUUUGUCCUCCUCAACUCCCCUUUUUGAAUGGAUGCCAUACCUACCGCCUGCCCCAACCCCUGGCAAUGGUGGACCCCUUUCUAUCUUCUGCCACUCCCGGUGAUACCACAACUGCUGUUCAUGCCUCAAGCACCUGAGCCCGGCCCUGAUGUUCCUCGUGCUGAGCUUUGCCUGAACCUGAGCAGGGGUGUCACCUGGAGGACAAGUCAAAUCUGGGCUUGUCUGGAAGCCUGUGGGGGAUGACCUGGGAGCCAGUGCAUGAGAGAAAUGAAUGUCUCCUGGGAAAGGGAUAAAGGCCUAAGGGGAGAGACAGGUGUGAGGGCACAGCUGCAGGGCCAGGAGGGAGGGGUGACACCGGGUGGAAUGCAGUGUCUGUCACAGGAGCCUCCAUGGAAGAAUGGAGAACAGAACCAGCACUCUCUCGUCGGGCACUGCUCACAGCCCAAGACGGAGUGGCCAGUGCUGGGUCCAUGGCUUGGGCCAUUUGACUUCUCCCUUUUGAGGAUGACUUAGAUAUGCUUUGCCAUCUUUUCUGGUAAACUGUUCUUUGUGAUCUACGGGAGCUCUUUUAUAUCCCAUGAUUAUCAGUCUUUGACCCUUUUAUAUAUUGCAAAUAGUUAUACACAGUUUCCUUCCAGGCUGCUGCUCGUUUUUAAACUACCUUUAUGGUAUCUUUUUAUACCCUGGAGUUUUAAAUAUUCAUGUAGUCAGUCUCUCAGUCUGACACAGGGUGAAGGCUGAGCAGGGGUCCUUGGGUGCCCCCAACGCUCUGUUUCUGGAUCUCACCCUGGUGAUAUGGGUGAGUUCACUUGGUGAAAAUUCAUGGAGCUGUACACUUGGGACUCGCUCAUUUAUAUAUAUUUCUUAAAUCUGUCAGGUUUUUUUUUUCUUUUACGACUUCUGAGUGUUACGCUUUGUUUAGAAAGCCUUUCACACUAUGAAACUGUGCAUGCUCCUCCUAUAAGUUCUUUUAAUACUUUAAAAGUUGAGCUCUUUAUAUAUAUAUUUUUUAAUUUUUAAUGUUUAUUUAUUUUUGAGAGACAAAACAUGAGCAGGGAGGGGCAGAGAGAGAGGGGGAGACACAG